GCCGGGGUGGCGGAAUUGGCAGACGCGCAUGGUUGAGGGCCAUGUGGGAUAUUCUCCUGUAGGGGUUCAAGUCCCCUCCCCGGCA
rnacentral:tRNA from 1 species